CCUCCCUGACUGUCUGAAGACAGGCCACCAUCACGAACGACAUCGUAACUAUCCGCACUAGAAAGUUCAUGACCAACCGACUACUUCAGAGGAAACAAAUGGUCAUUGAUGUCCUUCACCCCGGGAAGGCAACAGUGCCUAAGACAGAAAUUCGGGAAAAACUAGCCAAAAUGUACAAGACCACACCGGAUGUCAUCUUUGUAUUUGGAUUCAGAACUCAUUUUGGUGGUGGCAAGACAACUGGCUUUGGCAUGAUUUAUGACUGCCUGGAUUGUGCAAAGAAAAAUGAACCCAAACAUAGACUUGCAAGACAUGGCCUGUAUGAGAAGAAAAAGACCUCAAGAAAGCCACGAAAGGAACGCAAGAACAGAAUGAAGAAAGUCAGGGGGACUGCAAAGGCCAAUGCUGGUGCUGGCAAAAAGCCGAAGGAAUGAACGUGCUGCAGUAAAGGCUACCUGUGCCCAUUUUGGACUUUUCAUGAGAAGAUUAAUAAACUAAAAACUUUCA